UCAGUAAGAUGUAAUCUACAGAACAUACCAUAAUAUUCCUUUUCUCCAUUUUAUCACUGACAGGUGGAUAAUAGAAAUGUUCUGGACAGUCAGAGUGCUGCUGGAGAUGACAUAUGAGAAGGAUCCUGAUUCUCAUCUCGGUAAACUGACAUUUCUUCAUGGCAAUGAAUUCCUUCAUUGCUGUCUUCCAUGUUCUGAAUCUGCCAGCAGCAGUGAUGGAGGGAUGCUGGAUGAAGUGAUUCCACUGGAGAAGGGCUCUGUGCUUUGCACAAGCUCAGGUGUGUUAUAGCUCUGAUUCCAGAGCACUGAGGAGUUCUUAUCAAGCUGUUACGAAGAAUCUGAAUUUAUUUCAUUCUUUUCCUGGAACAUACACCGAGGGCAUUGAGGUUCCUAAAACAAAGCAGCCAGUGCUGCUGGUAGCAAAAUAAUGUGGUUUCACAUCCUAGGUAAACCUUGUGGCAAAUCCCUGUGAUUUAUGGAAAUAUUAUUGGUAUGUGUACCAAGGCCCCAAGACAGCAUCCAUGGGGCUGUCAGGUCUCCACACACACACAGAGUUCUGGCUGUGAUGGCUCUGCUGUGUGUUUGGUAGGAGAGAUUUAAUGGCUGAGUGUCUGUGGUGUUAAUGACUGAAUAAUUCCUGCUCCAGAGCUUUGCUUUAUUUUAUGUUGUUUUAUGACUUUCCAGUUGAAUAGCUCCAGUACCAGUGGGGUGCAAUAUAUCAAGCACAUCAGGAAUCUCCUACAUUAUUGCUUCAGACCCACAGAAGCUGUAACUUCCCAUGUUUAUUGAACUUUCCAGUUGAGACCUUGCUGGUGAAAGGAUUUGACUGUCAAGAAGCUGCUUGAUGUAAGAGCUCUUGUGAAGAGCUCAAUAUGCUACAGAAGACACACACUUU
rnacentral:lncRNA from 1 species